rnacentral:siRNA from 1 species
UGAACAGUCAACAAUUAUUUACCU